GCAGCGGGCAGUUUAUUGGGGACAAAGCAUCCGUAGCCGGCUCUGCAAGUCUUCCGUUAAAUCCACCUGCUCAACAGAUGGGCUGCUGAAGAUACUAUAGAGCUAGGAAGCGGGAGAGGCAAACGGUACUCAAUGGGUAGGGGUAAAAUCCUCUGAUCCAUUGAAGACCACCAGUGGCGAAGGCGGCUUGCCAGAACACGCUCGACGGUGAGGGAUGAAAGCUGGGGGAGCAAACCGGAUUAGAUACCCGGGUAGUCCCAGCUGUAAACGAUGCAAACUCGGUGAUGAAUUGGCUUCUUGCCAAUGCAGUGCCGCAGGGAAGCCGUUAAGUUUGCCGCCUGGGAAGUACGGACGCAAGACUGAAACUUAAAGGAAUUGGCGGGGGGAGCACAAA
rnacentral:rRNA from 1 species